rnacentral:SRP_RNA from 2 species
CCGCACUAGGUGGGGCGCUAGCGGUGCCCUGUCACCUGCAAUCCGCUAUAGCAGGACUGAUGCCGUCCCCCGGGAAGUAAUUUCAAGGUCUGGCGGCCAUUAAGUAGUGAUGACAGCUGGGUCCAACGCAAUAUGUCCCUGUGAACCUUGUCAGGUCCGGAAGGAAGCAGCAAUAAGCAGGUCCACAUAUGUGCCGUCGGAGUGCCUGGCUCGAGCCGGCUGAUGGCUUGCCGCUUGGGAGCGUUUCUCAAAGGUCGGCGUGCGG